rnacentral:rRNA from 1 species
UACAGAGGGUGCGAGCGUUAAUCGGAAUUACUGGGCGUAAAGGGCGCGUAGGCGGUAGUAUGUGUGGGAUGUGAAAGCCCCGGGCUUAACCUGGGAAGUGCAUACCAAACUAUACAACUGGAGUAUGUGAGAGGGUGGCGGAAUUUCCGGUGUAGCGGUGAAAUGCGUAGAGAUCGGAAGGAACGUCAAUGGCGAAGGCAGCCACCUGGCACAAUACUGACGCUGAGGCGCGAAAGCGUGGGGAGCAAACAGGAUUAGAAACCCCUGUAGU